rnacentral:misc_RNA from 1 species
UCCACUGCUUACCUUCCAUUUAGUUCAUGACGUGAAGCAUCAAAUAUAGAUACACUUCCAUCCACAAAGGUGGCAUACACCAUUUGGCUAUCACAUGAGAAAGUUGCUUGGGAGAUUGGCACAAGAUCUCCUCGAACCCACCGCUUUAAACAUUCUAAAUCUCUGGCUUCAUAAAUUGAGAGACAACUCUCAUGUACAACAAGGAAGCGUGUUUGAUCCUGAUGAAACUGGACAUGGGUGUCCAAUAAUGCUUCAUGCUUUUUCUCGUCAGGAAUCUGUAAGAAUCCGCUUCUGUGUUUUUCCCACCCUUUAACGUUCCACACCA